GACGAACGCUGGCGGCGUGCUUAACACAUGCAAGUCGAACGGAAAGGCCCUGCUUUUGUGGGGUGCUCGAGUGGCGAACGGGUGAGUAACACGUGAGUAACCUGCCCUUGACUUUGGGAUAACUUCAGGAAACUGGGGCUAAUACCGGAUAGGAGCUCCUGCUGCAUGGUGGGGGUUGGAAAGUUUCGGCGGUUGGGGAUGGACUCGCGGCUUGUCGGCUUGUUGGUGGGGUAGUGGCUUACCAAGGCUUUGACGGGUGGCCGGCCUGAGAGGGUGACCGGCAAAAUUGGGACUGAGAUCCGGCCCAGCCUCCUAGGGGAGGCAGCAGUGGGGAAUAUUGAACAAUGGGCGGAAGCCUAAUGCAGAAACGCCGCGUGCGGGAUGAGGGCCUUCGGGUUGUAACCCGUUUUCGCCUGUGACGAAGCGUGAGUGACGGUAAUGGGUAAAGAAGCACCGGCUAACUACGUG
rnacentral:rRNA from 1 species